rnacentral:rRNA from 1 species
AGUUCGUACUGUGAAGCAUCCUGUUAAGUCAGGCAACGAGCGAGACCCACGCCCACAGUUGCCAGCGUACUCUCUGGAGUGGACGGGUACACUGUGGGACCGCCGCUGCUAAAGCGGAGGAAGGAAUGGGCAACGGUAGGUCAGUAUGCCCCGAAUAUCCCGGGCUACACGCGAGCUACAAUGGUUGGUACAAUGGGUAUCUACCCCGAAAGGGGACGGGAAUCUCCUAAAACCAAUCUUAGUUCGGAUUGAGGGCUGCAACUCGCCCUCAUGAAGCUGGAAUCCGUAGUAAUCGCGUUUCAACAGAACGCGGUGAAUACGUCCCUGCUCCUU